UCGAGCGAACAGAUAAGGAGCUUGCUCCUUUGACGUUAGCGGCGGACGGGUGAGUAACACGUGGGUAACCUACCUAUAAGACUGGAAUAACUCCGGGAAACCGGGGCUAAUGCCGGAUAACAUUUAGAACCGCAUGGUUCUAAAGUGAAAGAUGGUUUUGCUAUCACUUAUAGAUGGACCCGCGCCGUAUUAGCUAGUUGGUAAGGUAACGGCUUACCAAGGCAACGAUACGUAGCCGACCUGAGAGGGUGAUCGGCCACACUGGAACUGAGACACGGUCCAGACUCCUACGGGAGGCAGCAGUAGGGAAUCUUCCGCAAUGGGCGAAAGCCUGA
rnacentral:rRNA from 1 species